rnacentral:lncRNA from 1 species
CAUCAAGUUACUAUGAACCUAGAAGGAUGCAUAACCCCAACGUGACUUGUCAUUAUUGUAGACGCAUUGGUCAUAUUGCUCCUGCAUGCUUUACACAAUAUAGACAUAUCACUCAAUCGCAUCAUUAUAAUAUGCCUAACCCUCAAGGACCCAAAAUGGCAUGGGUACAUAAAACGCAUUAACUUGUUUUGUAGGUAUGUUUGAAGGGAUCAAGUGUACUAUGGUACCUUGAUAGUGGAUGCUCCAAAUAUAUGACAGGAGACGAAGACAAAUUCCUUCAACUAGAAUACAAAGAAGGAGGAAGUG